UACCUGCCUUCCAGACCUUGUUUGCCUU
rnacentral:sRNA from 1 species